CUGCUGGGCACGAUGGCUCACGCCUAUAAUCACAGCACUUUGGGAGGCUGAGGUAGGAGGAUCACUUGAGCCCAGGAGUUCAAGACCAGCCUGAGCAACACAGCAAAACGCUAUCUCUACAAAAUCCAAAAAAUCAGUUGUACCUGGCGACACAUGCCUAUAUUCCCCCCUAUUUGAGAGGCUGAGGCAGGAGAAUCAGUUGAACCCAGGAGGUUGAGGCUACAGUGAGCCAAGACCG
rnacentral:lncRNA from 1 species